GGAAAGAUGGCUAAGCAGUUAAAAGCACUGGCUGCUCUUCCAGAGGUCCUGAGUUCAAUUCUCAGCAUCCA
rfam:Mesocricetus auratus contig015694, whole genome shotgun sequence.